rnacentral:misc_RNA from 1 species
GGACAAGAACUUCUUUGGCUACUUGUUUUGACAUUCUGCAGGGGAAUUACUGUUCUAGCUUCCGUGCAGAUUCCGUUUGAGGAUUGUUCAAUUCUCAUCCAAGUGAUGAAUCAGUGGGCAGCAAAAGCACAAUGGAGAACAUUUCCCCUUAUGUUAUGAACAUUUUUCUUUCUGUUCUCCAUCAUGUAAACCAAGUUUAUUCAAUGAAGUUCUUGUCCUUGUUUUUGAGUUACCAACACUUGCAUAGAAGAGUU